CCAACGGCCCUCUUUAGGGCCACAUUCCUUGCUCGAAUACUACUGU
rfam:Ancylostoma duodenale strain Zhejiang A_duodenale-1.0_Cont6378.2, whole genome shotgun sequence.